CCUACGGGAGGCAGCAGUGGGGAAUAUUGGGCAAUGGAGGAAACUCUGACCCAGCGACGCCGCGUGCGGGAUGAAGGCCUUCGGGUUGUAAACCGCUUUCAGCAGGGAAGAAGCGAAAGUGACGGUACCUGCAGAAGAAGCACCGGCUAACUAUGUGCCAGCAGCCGCGGUAAUACAUAGGGUGCAAGCGUUGUCCGGAAUUAUUGGGCGUAAAGAGCUCGUAGGUGGUUCGUCACGUCGGAUGUGAAAAUCUGGGGCUUAACCCCAGACCUGCAUUCGAUACGGGCGAGCUUGAGUAUGGUAGGGGAGUCUGGAAUUCCUGGUGUAGCGGUGGAAUGCGCAGAUAUCAGGAGGAACACCAAUGGCGAAGGCAGGACUCUGGGCCAUUACUGACACUGAGGAGCGAAAGCGUGGGGAGCGAACAGGAUUAGAUACCCUGGUAGUCCACGCCGUAAACGGUGGGCACUAGUUGUGGGGACCUUCCACGGUCUUUGCGACGCAGCUAACGCAUUAAGUGCCCCGCCUGGGGAGUACGAUCGCAAGNUAAACUUAAAUGAAUUGACGG
rnacentral:rRNA from 1 species